rfam:Canis lupus familiaris chromosome 12, whole genome shotgun sequence.
GCCUGGGUGGCUCAGUGGUUGAGCACCUGCCUUCGACUCAGGUCGUGAUCCCAGGAUCCCGGGAUCGAGUCCCACAUCAGGCU